rnacentral:rRNA from 1 species
UUGAACGCUGGCGGCAUGCCUUACACAUGCAAGUCGAACGGCAGCACGGGAGCAAUCCUGGUGGCGAGUGGCGAACGGGUGAGUAAUAUAUCGGAACGUGCCCAGUUGUGGGGGAUAGCCCGGCGAAAGCCGGAUUAAUACCGCAUACGACCUACGGGUGAAAGCGGGGGAUCGCAAGACCUCGCGCAAUUGGAGCGGCCGAUAUCAGAUUAGCUAGUUGGUGGGGUAAAAGCUCACCAAGGCGACGAUCUGUAGCUGGUCUGAGAGGACGACCAGCCACACUGGGACUGAGACACGGCCCAGACUCCUACGGGAGGCAGCAGUGGGGAAUUUUGGACAAUGGGCGCAAGCCUGAUCCAGCCAUGCCGCGUGUGGGAAGAAGGCCUUCGGGUUGUAAACCACUUUUGUCAGGGAAGAAACGGUCCUUACUAAUAUUAGGGGCUAAUGACGGUACCUGAAGAAUAAGCACCGGCUAACUACGU